GGCUCUGUGGUCUAGUGGUAUGAUUCGCGCUUCGGGAUUUGAAACUUCCCAUACUUUCAAAAUAUCUGUGCGAGGUCUCGGGUUCGAUCCCCGACAGAGCCC